GCUUGUCUCAAAGAUUAAGCCAUGCAUGUCUAAGUAUAAGCAAUUUGUACUGUGAAACUGCGAAUGGCUCAUUAAAUCAGUUAUAGUUUAUUUGAUCUUACCUUACUACUUGGAUAACCGUGGUAAUUCUAGAGCUAAUACAUGCAAAAAUGGGCGACUUCUGGAAGCUCAGUAUUUAUUAGACUUAAGCCAAUAUUCCUUGUGUCUAUUGCGAUGAUUCAUAAUAACUGAUCGAAUCUCAAAUUUGAGAUAAAUCAUUCAAGUUUCUGCCCUAUCAGCUUUCGAUGGUAGUGUAUUGGACUACCAUGGCAGUAACGGGUAACGAAGAAUUAGGGUUCGAUUUCGGAGAGGGAGCAUGAGAAACGGCUACCACAUCUAAGGAAGGCAGCAGG
rnacentral:rRNA from 1 species